rnacentral:rRNA from 1 species
GAUGAACGCUAGCGGCAGGCUUAACACAUGCAAGUCGAGGGGCAGCAUGAGACGGAGAUUCGUCGAAGUCUUGAUGGCGACCGGCGCAAGGGUGCGUAACGCGUGAGCAACUUGCCCGUUUCUGGGGAAUAACCGGUGGAAACGCCGACUAAUACCCCAUAGUAUUGACUUUGGGCAUCCUUAGUCAAUUAAAGAAUUUCGGAAACGGAUAGGCUCGCGUGACAUUAGCUGGAUGGCGGGGUAACGGCCCACCAUGGCAACGAUGUCUAGGGGUUCUGAGAGGAAGGUCCCCCACACUGGAACUGAGACACGGUCCAGACUCCUACGGGAGGCAGCAGU